GAUGAACGCUGGCGGCGUGCCUAAUACAUGCAAGUCGAGCGAACGGACGAGAAGCUUGCUUCUCUGAUGUUAGCGGCGGACGGGUGAGUAACACGUGGAUAACCUACCUAUAAGACUGGGAUAACUUCGGGAAACCGGAGCUAAUACCGGAUAAUAUUUUGAACCGCAUGGUUCAAAAGUGAAAGACGGUCUUGCUGUCACUUAUAGAUGGAUCCGCGCUGCAUUAGCUAGUUGGUAAGGUAACGGCUUACCAAGGCAACGAUGCAUAGCCGACCUGAGAGGGUGAUCGGCCACACUGGAACUGAGACACGGUCCAGACUCCUACGGGAGGCAGCAGUAGGGAAUCUUCCGCAAAGGGCGAAAGCCUGACGGAGCAACGCCGCGUGAGUGAUGAAGGUCCUCGGAUCGUAAAACUCUGUUAUUAGGGAAGAACAUAUGUGUAAGUAACUGUGCACAUCUUGACGGUACCUACUCAGAAAGCCACGGCUAACUACGUG
rnacentral:rRNA from 1 species